ACCAUCGUCUGCUAGUCCAACAAAGGCACCUCCAAUCCUCCACUCCUACUCUUCUUCCAUUUCUCCUCCUUAGAUCAAAUCGCGCCUGAAUGUGUAGGUUUUGAGACUCAGAGUGUCGGCCUUCCAUUCGCGUUGUUGUGUCCAUUCACAUUCUUCGGUCUCCUCUUCAAAGUUUAGAUUCUAUUCCGUUCUGUCAGCCUCCUCUAUUUUCAUCGUCAGCGUUCAGAUUCGUCACUGGGUAGCUUCUUGGCAUUCUAUUUCUUGUUUUCAUCUUCUGGUUUAGAUUCCCUUUUAGAUUUCAUUUUAUUUGUGGGUUAAUUUUUAUUUCAAGGUUCAUAUCUCCCUUCUAGUUUUGUUGAAAAUAUUUCUACUGGUACUAAGUGACUGCCUUUUAGUACUGCCUUGACUAGUGACAUUGCAGAGGAUUAGCACUUCAUUUGGUUGAUUGGAUUCUCUGCAGUUCAUUCUGGGAGAUGGAAAAUGAGGGUUGGAUUAUAAUAAUUUGAGAUGUAGCAGCUCCUUUGAUAGAGUUAACUAGAGGUCUAGUGGCAACCCAAACACAAGUUGUAGAACUAUUCAAGUAAGAAGAAGAAGAAGAAGAAGAAGAAGAUGAUGAUGAUGAUGAUGAUGAUCAAGAAGAAGAAGAGGAACUUCAAGAUGAUGAAGAAACAAAAGAUAGUGAGGAAGAUUCUUAUAUGGAUGAAGAUGAAGAUGAUGCAUAAAUUAUGGUUGUGACAUUGCAUUUGUUACUUAGUUUUCAGUUUGAUUGAUUGCAUUAACUUCUUAUUUAUUUUUGGGAAAAUUAAUUUGAGGUCCUUACAAUUUUGUUCAA